AGGGUGUAUGUUUAAGCUCAAAACUCACGAGCACUUAAGGCCCACGCUAACUAAGCCCAUUUGAUAAUUAUAUUGAGUGACCAUAAUAACCUCCUAUCUGUAGCAUAAUAUCAAAAUUAAAAUUCUCUUCAAAAAACCAGAAUAAUCUGCUGAGCUUCCGUUCGCCUUCCACGUCUGCCCCUGCUGCUCGCUGAGCUAAAUCCGAAUAACUCUCGCCGCCGCAAUGUAGUUGCUAUAAUCAGCAGCUAAUCACUUGCCACGCGUCCCUGUCAAGCUGCCUCCAUCAUGCCCUGACCACCACCACCACACAGCGGCCCCCGCCGCCGCAAUUCAUCUCCACCUGAAAGCCUCUCUCAGAAAGAACAGAAAACCAGUACCUAAAACGCCUCUUCCACGACAUGUGUAAGUUACGCUUUGAAUUCCGUUUCCUUUUUUUUUCCAGAUUAUUAUAACUUCCAACUUUUUUAGUAAUUUUUCCUUUUUUUUUUAGUGUUUCAUCUAUUACAGAUUGUAGCUAAAAUAUAAUAAAUAAGCAAGAAACAUGCAGGAAGUUCCUGUACGGUGUUAUAAACAGGAGCCAAUAAAAAAGUCCAAAUCAGAAAAAUUAACUCAAAAAUCUUCUUCAAAGACUGAUAAUAAUAAAAAUAAUAAAAAUGGAGCUGCACUCAACAAUUACAGCUCUGGUGAUGACGAUUUGACUGAUAAUAAGUUGAAAUUAGAGCUUGCUUGGCUUAUUUUCUGAGGGAUAAUCUACUGUUGUAUCAGGCCUCUUUCUCUGUUUUUUUUUUUUUUCCCGGUAAGAAAGAUGUUGUGGUGAACCUAAUUAAUCCUACAGGGAUUUAGGUUAAGGUUGGUGGGUCAUUCUCUUGGAGCUUCUGUAGCUUCUUUACUAGCAAUCAUGCUCCGUAAAAAUUCAAUUAAGGAACUUGGUUUUAUCACUAACAUCAUUACUGCUGUUGGCUAUGCAACUCUGCCCUGUGUCUCCAGAGAACUGGCUGAAAGUUGCUCUCAUUUUGUUACAACCAUAGUAAUGCAGGAUGACAUUAUACAUAGAUUAAGUGCAGCUUCUCUGGCAAGACUGAGAAAUGAAUUCUUCAAACUGAUUGAUUGUUGAUUUGCUGAACUUCACAGAUGCUUGAAUUGGCUGUGUAUCAUUUGCAAACAAUUUUUACCUUGAUCUGUAAUCUAGCGUACACCAUAUGAGAAUUUUGACAGAGCAAAGAGAAGUGAGAGUUGUCAACUAUUGGCUGUAAAGUGGAUCCAGAAUUCUUACACCUGUGUCAGGGUGUGAAUAAACAAUCUGAUUAGCCAGUUCAUACCAAACAAGGUGAUUCUUGGGAGUGCUGAGAAUUUCGAUUUUUUUUUUCUUGAUAUCUAGCAAUGGAUGCAGAAAACUAUAGAAGUGUAAAGAGGUUAUGAGGGAUUAACUUGAAUGCUCCAAACUGAUGGCAGUUUAGAAGAUGAGUACAAAUAAACUAUUGCUGUUCCGGUUGAUAUUUUUUUUCUCACUUCCCUUACCAGCUUUUUAUUGCUUGUUGGUGUGCAAGGUAAGUUAGUACAAGUUACAUGCAUAAGUAAUGGGUUCCUUGGGAGGUGGAAAAUGGGCAAGCUUGUCUAGUCUCUGUUUCAUUUCAUUUUUCAUCCGUGGUGUCUCUUAAUGAACUCGUAAAACUUCUGAACAUGUAAAUGAGUUCAUAGGUUCCAAUUUAGAAGAAAAUUGAUAGCCUAUGAAUGAAUUAUUUUUAGCAACAUCACUUGAUUCGUGUAGUUUUUUUUUUUUAAGUUGAAAUUCCUUUUAGGCAACAAUUUUGCAUCCACUAUAUUCUUUGCUAUUUGUAUAUGAGUGUGGUCGAGAAGGAGGUCUGGAAAAGUGUGAUAGGUUUGGUCACAAAUGCAACGCAGGUCAUCUCUUCUGGGCAGGAUGUUGCUCAGAAACUUGUUGAUUAUGCCAGGUUUGGUAGCAAGAAAAAUUCUUCUGGUAACACCAUCCUGCUGUGUCCUGAUUCCGGAUGGCUGGAAAAUGUUUUAUUUCUUGAACGAUAUCAGUUGUAUUUUUAGGUUGGCUAUCAAAAGACCUGACACCAGACAGGCUUAAUUUGGAUUUAGCAUCUAGUAAAACUUUAAAAGAAUGGUGUAGAUGUCUGUAGAAAUUUUUUUUUUGGGGGUACUAAAUUGGGAUGCAGAUAGACUACCCCAGACUUCUGACGAAGCAAAUUGCCCAUCCCCAUAGUAUUUACUCACAAAUGUAGGAACUCCAUCGCUGCACCUUUGUUAUGGCUGAAGAUCAGGGUAUCUCCAUGAAUGGGGCCACAGGGCAUGGAGUUGGCUUGGAAUUCUCGAACCCCGAGCUAGCAUUGAGCAAAGAUAUCAAAGGCCUUUAUCAUUGAACCAAGCAGUUUUUGGUGGUGUGCAAGAAUUUCUGUCAGCAAUGGGUUUAGGUGUUUGGAAGGCUAUUUGAGUGGGGGUUUUAUGCCAAGACCAAAAGAUUAUGUUGUUAUUGAGGAUUAGUAAUGGUGAAGCAGUGUUGCAAUAUUUGGAGUUGGAUAAUGUGAGAAAAGAGGGUUUGGAGGCUGCCUGGGUGCCUGGGUGCCGUAUGCCGUGAAGUGUGAACAUUGAGUACCAAGAGGUACUGUAUCAGCUGAAUUCGGGUUUUUUCGGAGACACUUGUGGAAGAAGUAAGGGUGGGUGUCUUGAGAAGAAGUCACAACAGUUUCCAAAUGAAACAGAAGAAUUUGUUGAAAAGUGCAAGGGGAGAAGUGGGGAGGGGAGCUUAAUAAGAGAAAUUAUUUCAAACCAAGAUUUCAGAGUGAUGCUAGGUUGGAUGUUUUACUUAAGAAUUACAAUCAUAUUUGUAGGUUCCAGUUGAUAGUAGUCUUAUGGAAGGUAAUGUGUGAAUUGUGAUGUUGGAGAAGCCAUGUAGCAGUCCAAUCUUCAUGGACUGGCUGAUACUAAAUCGUUAACUCUUGCAAAUAGAAUUGGCAACCAUUUGCCUGUCAUAAUUCCCUGAGCUACCGGAUUCUCGAUACCGAAGGCUAAUUAGCAACGACAGGAAAAUAUCCAUAAAGCUCCCGGAGAGGCAUCGGUGCAAUCUGAAAUCUAAGAGGUUGAGGUAUUCAACUCCAAAUUUCCCCACGUUAAAAAUAUGAAAAGGGAGGGGGGGAUUGAUUGUCUUCUCUGCAAACAGGUUUAUGCGGAUAAGCAUUAUGAAAAGAAAAGAAAAGGUCUUUGCCAUUAAGAAUAUAGUAAAUAUUUGAGCUUACCCAUAUAACUGCAAAUAAUGGGAGUAAGCUUCCCCACCAUUACCUACCUUAAAAAGUAAUGGCUAAGCUAGAAUUGGCCGUAUCUAUUGCCACUUCUAGGCCACCCUACCCUAGGGUUCAUAGCAUCCAAGAAAAAGUAGAAAACCAAUGCUUAACACGCCUUAAACACACCGACUGCUAAUGCUUAGCCAAUUAAAAAUUGUAUGCCUCAUGAACACGCUUUCCUUGACUUAAUUUUGCACACAAAGCUGUACCAAACUAAAUUUAGAUGUUGUAAUUCUGGACUCAACUUUUGAAAGUGUUCCUAUUCGUGCAUGAUUGUGGAAACAAAAAAAAUAAUAUUAUAUCUUGCUUCAAUUAAUUGUGCUCGAUCUGUUCAAGAAUUUGGCCCCGUCCAAACACUAAACGGCCAUAUCCAAAAUACUAGACUGCCAGGUAUUUCACACAAAAAAAUCUUCCAAAAAAUCACGCAAGUUGCCAUAGGCUGUAGAGAUGAAGAAAUGAGUGGUUGCUUGCUCCAUCUCUUAUUGAUUUGGGCUACACUUGCCCUAGAGAAGAAAACUGAGGCGCCACUGCUCGGCCUGGACGAAAAUCAUGUGCUUCAAAAGGUUACUGUCCAAUACUCAUGUAUUCGAAGCAUAAAGAACAAUUCUAUUAAUAAUUUGAUAAUUUUGAAAAAAAGAAAAGAAAAGAGGGUGGAAUGGGACCGGAUUUAAUGUGCAAUCAGAUCAUGCACAGUACUGUAAAAUAUAGAAUUUGUGAUGGACUGCACUACUAAACGUAGAAUAUAGAAUUGCAAACAAAGUAUGUGCUCUUUUGUGGCUGGGAAGAGAAAAGUAGUGUACAAGUUUUUUUUUGGUCGGGAGAAAGCAAUGUACUUCAAAAGUAGAUUAAGAAUGUUAAGACAACUCGUAAAUUGUCUACAUAUGUGUAUGUGUAUGUGACAAAGAGAGAGAGUUUUUUUUUCUUAA